rnacentral:sRNA from 1 species
AACAACUAGUCCUCAGCUACCUUUUAUUAUAAAAUAAGUAUAAAAGGUUCUUAUUCUUGCCUGAUGCAUGGGUAUCAGAACUAGGACUGAAAGGUGUGAAGAAGUUUUAAAUUAACACAAUGUCAACGUUGCUUUGAAAUGAUAUAUAAAGAUUGAAUACACUUACGUAUGGUGUUUUGAAAUAUGUAUUCAGAGUGGAGUGGCUCAACAAAGAUCAUUAACAUACACAUUUUCUCAGGUACUUGCAUAAGAACACUUAAAGCUUCUUUCUUACCAAGUUUCAAACUAUGAUACAUAAGUACAGAUAGCCUGCUGUACACUAGCUCUCUGGACCUUAUUCAUAUUAGCUGAAGUUAUUAGUGAUAUUUGACCAAUAUCACUCUAACUCCCAUUUCCUCAUCUCUGGCAACUACCUACUGGGCUUCUAUGAGUUUUUUUUUUAAGACUUUUUUUUAUAGCUUUCAUAUGUGAGAUCAUAUGGUAGGAAUCUUUCUGUGCCUGGUUUGUGUGUAUUGUCAUAAAUAGCGUGAUUUCCUUCAUGGUUGGAACUAAAUAGUACUCCAUUAAUUCUGUUCUUUUAGAGUUGUGCUCUGGAUGUAGCAUCAUGCUUUGGCCAGCAGCUCAUUGUAAGGUAUUGCGUUGGAAAGCCAGAGGGCUUGCUUUCCUCUGCACCGUCGCUGGGAUGAAGCCCAUGAGGACCAGAGUCUCCUCUGUCUUGGUCAUAGAACAGUACGUGACCAGGAGAAUUGCAUGCAAAGUCACUAAGAGGAACAAACCAGAGGGCAGAGCUGAGGCUGCCUGGGAGGAUCUGCAGAGGAAUGCCAAGAAAAAUGGACAGACUCUACCAAGGACAGCGGCCGGAAGUUAUAGUGUGGGAGGAAUUAUGACCAAAAGAAGGUCUACAAAAUGUACUGUGGUCAGUCAGAAAUAAGAAAUGGGUAGGAAGAGAUAAACACAGGCUGGCUAUGUUGCACAGAUUAUAGGAAUCCCACAAUUAAUUAAUUAAUUUAAUUACUCAUACAUAUACACAUUAAUUCAGUUAUCCAAAAAUAUUAUUGAAUUCUUUCUAGUGGUUAGGAAUUGUCCCCACUCCCUGUUCUAAGAAGUGCCUGCUCUUGAUUAGGGAGAGGACAAUGGGCAACUAAGAGAAUUGCUCAAGAAUUCUGAAUGCUCUCAAUACAGAUGAUAAAUCUUAAAGAGAUGCUCUUCCUGCGACCCCAAGAGGAUCAUUCUACUUUGCACACAGGCACACAAGUGUCACACUGCACCCUAUAAAUAUGUACAACUGUAUGUGUCAAUGGAAGGACGUUUUAAAAAGUGACAGAGAAAACCAAAGCACAAGUCACAGAGACUGUGAUGGGGAAGAGCUUUGCAGCCUUAAGGAUGUGCAGUCAGGAUAGAUCAAGACUUAAAGUGGGUACACGUGCAACUUCCAGCUCAGCAUCUGCAUAAGAAGGCAUCUGGAGCCAAUUCAUCAGUUUAUCAUGAUGGUGAUGAUGAUGAUGAGAUGAUGAUGA